ACGCCCCCUUUCCCGUGGACGAGGCUUAAAAAGGGAGUGAAGUCAAAGUUUUCCCAUUUAGUCCCUCCUCCUUCUCCUCUCUGACAGAAGAGGGAGGGACUACAGGAAGCGCCGCUCGCUGUGAUUGGACAGAAAGAAACGACAAGAAAAAAUAGACGGCGUGUGGUGAUUGGCUGGCGUAGCCCCGUCUCUUGGAAACGGGAUGGAGGGGGCGGGGCCGGCCCAAAAGCCUUCGAAUUGAAGACGGCAACCUGAGUCCAACUGCGCAUGCGCUCCAGGCCUUUAACGUUCUUUCUUCCCUCCCCUUCGGCCGGGCGCCAUUUUGUGCGCUGCUCCGCGUCACGUCCCGGGUCCAUCUCUUUCUAUCCGAAGGCGAGGAGCAGCUGGAGCGCGAAGAAGGCGGCGGCGGAAAGGGCUGCGAAGGGAGAGGCCUUGAAGGCAGGCUGGAGCAGUUUUCUACUUCAGAACUUGCCCUAGAAAGGCACCCAAGUGAUGUGGUCAUCAGAGCCGUGGUAAAUAAAAUUGGAACAGUGAUGAAGUACUUCAUGAAGGAGCUUGUGGCAUCAAACGACUUACAGAGAAUGAAAAUUUCACAGUUGCAAAACUGGAAAAUUGAAUUCAAGAGGAACAUGUUUGGCAUAUAUAGUCUGGAAGACAGCUGAAUGUGGGUAACAUACACUCUGUAUGUUGAUGCAUUGACAAGAUGGUUAUAGAUCAUGCCUGCAGUGGUGGGUCAGAAACCUUGUGAGUGAAAAGUCAAUAUGAGGGAUGUCCUUUAUGUUGAUUGUUGGUCUGAAUACAGCACCAGUUUACCAUUCUUGAUGUCACAAUGCGAGGAAUCAGCUGCAGUUUAUAGGCUGACAGGUUAAAUAGCUGUAGAUUUUGGAUGCUAUGGCAGUGAAAUGGAUAACAAGUAGUAAUAAAGCUGUGGCACCAGUGCUGCAUGUAGUAGCAGGUAGUGAAGGUGGGGAAUGGCAUCCUUAUAGAAUUUAGUGACUGAAAGUGCUGAUGAUCAAUUGUCAAAAGAUGAUUCAGUAUAAAGAAGCUUGGUCAUGUAAGGCUUUAGCUGUGGUAAUGGUUAACAGAAGCUUUAAACUGCUUACUGAACAACAAAAGGAGAUGACAUGUUGGAACUUGCACUUUCCUAUAGCAAUGUCCUUUGUGCUACAGAAGUUGUCCAUACUCAGAAAGUUAACUUGGCUAACGUUUAUUUUGGGAUAUAGAUUGUUGUUUGUUUUUGAUCUUCUUUUGUGCAAGUGCUUGCAUUAUAUCUAUUUGUACCAUCUGUUCUACCAGACUGGAACUCAAGCCAGGUUACCAAAUGAAAAGAAAUUCCCCUAAAAUGCAUAAAUAUACAAAAUGUGAUGUUUAAAAUGUUACCUAAAGUAGAAUUAAAAACUCUUGCACAGUAAA